CCUACGGGGCGCUGCAGUGAGGAAUAUUGGUCAAUGGGCGCGAGCCUGAACCAGCCAAGUAGCGUGAAGGAUGACUGCCCUACGGGUUGUAAACUUCUUUUGUAAAGGAAUAAAGUGAGGCACGUGUGCCUUUUUGUCUGUAUUUUAUGAAUAAGGAUCGGCUAACUCCGUGCCAGCAGCCGCGGUAAUACGGAGGAUCCGAGCGUUAUCCGGAUUUAUUGGGUUUAAAGGGAGCGUAGAUGGGUUGUUAAGUCAGUUGUGAAAGUUUGCGGCUCAACCGUAAAAUUGCAAUUGAUACUGGCAGCCUAGAGUACAGUUGAGGUAGGCGGAAUUCGUGGUGUAGCGGUGAAAGGCUUAGAUAUCACGAAGAACUCCGAUUGCGAAGGCAGCCUACUAAACUGCCACUGACAUUGAUGCUCGAAAGUGUGGGUAUCAAACAGGAUUAGAUACCCUUGUAGUC
rnacentral:rRNA from 1 species